AAAAAUAUGAAAAAAAGUGUAUAUUCAUUUAUUUAAUAAAUAUCCAAUGAAAGCAGACAUAGGAUCACAUCCUAGAGAUAGAGAUACACAUCACAAGUACUCGGCUUUGAGAACUCCGUUUAUUGGGAGAAUCAGAUACAUUUUUAAACAUGUGACUCAACAUUUAGGUCUUUGCAAGACAGCUCACGUUCAAAUCUGUGACUAACUCAAGCUUUUAUUUAGAUGUGCUAAACCAAACUAUUAUUUGGCCUUUAUUUUAUCUUUUUUUUUUUCACUUUCUUUUUACCCCAAAGCAUUUGAGCUAUUCCUUUUUAUUGAUUUUUGAUCCUCUAUUGUCUGUAACUUGUAAUUUUAAAUAAUUACCAUCAGAGCCAUAAUAGAGGUAGCCACCAAGUUGUAGAGGUGUAUCCAGAAGAAAAGAAAAUAAGCAGGCCUGGGGAUGGGGAAAUUGUUUGAAGUGAGUCUUGGGAUUUCCAGGUGGACAAGCAGAGGUACACAGCCCAAAGUAAAGGCACUGCAUAUUGUAGGACAGGGAUUGGAAAAUUUGGUCUUUUUUGCCUGGUCUUUCACUAGGUAUCCCUUUAGUCUCCCUCAUAGAACAUAUACGAGAUCCAAAAGUAAGACAGAUACUGACCUUGCACAGUGUUACUCUCUCCUUCUCAUGGGAUAAUACAACCUGAGUUUCCUUUUUCUUUUUACGCAAAAGAUUUAAGAUUUCCUGGAGUUUCUCCUGCAAUAGAAACAAAUUCUCUGUGGCAAAUGAGCAGAGCACCGGGUUGUGAAGAAGACUUGAGGACCAAUAAAAAUAUGAUGAGCGGGACCUAACACAAGGAGUGAAGCAGGAUCCACACCAAGUUUGGGGUCUGGUGCCUGGAGACCAGGAUCCGUGAUUGUCACCAAUAGAGAAUAUUAUGGGCAUAAGUGAUGGAACGUGGUUUGUGUUCUGAGAUUUAUAUUGAGCAGCCAAUCUUACUUUGUGACGCUCCUCAGCCUCACUGGAGGGAUACAAUCCGUUUAUUCCAUGACACUGGGUUGAGAAAGCGUUUACACCCUGCUGCUCAGCAGAAAAAGCCUUAGCGACUGCCAGCAUUCUCCCAGAGCCGCCUUGUCCGCCUUCGCUCUGCAGCACCUGGGAUCGGAGCUGUUUGCCGAUGCCAGCCAGCCUCCCCAGACGCUCAUUGGGCUGGAAGUGUGGACUCUCCAAGGCCCUCCAGCACUCAGGACAAGAUAAAGGAGUACUGUGUUCCUCCCAGCUCCUCAGGAGACACACCAGACAAAAGCUGUGCCCACACUCAGUGGUCACCGGGCUGGUGAAAUAGUCCAAGCAGAUGAAACAGGUCAGUUCUUCCCUGAGAUUCUCCAUCAAAUCUGCUGUAGACAUGUUUACAAAGAAAGACAUCAAGGCAAGGUGCUGCCUCUAUUCCGGGAUUAGAAAAGUCCUCCCUGAGGUUCUAUUGUUUUGAGUAACAGGUGGCUGGUCAGUUUCUGUGUUGUUAAUACGAAAAACUCUUACUCUCCUCUGUGCCUGAUUUCACCAGUUGACACAUACUCUCCCAACAAAAGGCCAAUUAUGACUUAACGUGGAACCCUUGUACACUGGGUUCAUCAUCAACCCCAGACUUUUAAGGAAUGUCUCACUGUGCAAGCAACAUACUGGAUACGGAGGGUACUUGUUUCUAACAGACUUUCUUAAAGAGUAGGCUACUGUAUGUAAAUAGCACCAGAAAAACAAUCAAGUACCUUGAUCUUAAGCUGAAAGGUUAGGUAAUUUGUUGUGAGCCAUUACAGAGAUUUAAGGUAUAAUGAUCUCUAAUAAUAUCCGAAUUGGAAAUAUGGCCCAUUUAGGAAAACUCCACUAAUGGAAUCUAGUUAAGAAACCAAAAGCAGAAAAUCGUAAUACCGAUCCCUUCUCUUGAUAGGCCCUUUUAUGUGCUUGACCAAAGCCUAAAAUAUUUUUCUCCUUAAUCAGGUACUGUGUACUUUUAUUUAAUCUUGUUCGUCCCAACAAAAUGAGAGCAAGUCCAUUGAAAUAUUCCCUGACUUUAAACGUAUAAUGGAUUAUCAGAGUUAUAUUUAGUGCUCUGCCCUGCAGACCAUGAUACCUCUCCACCACCAUUGAAGGCAUGCAAAACCUCACUAUUGUUGGAAGUUGCCUCAAGAGGCCAUAACGCUAUGGACUGAAUGGGGGCAAAAAAACUGUACUUCAGAAUAAAUAUAAUUUUAUUCACUUAUUUUCACUAGGUCUUCUUCAACCCCGUAUCAGUUCUUACUGAACAGGUAUCCAAUGUGCAAAUAGUUUCAGACCUAUGUGAAACUAAAUGUCUAGUAUGGAAAUGGUGUCCAGUGACCAUUGAGAUUAUUAGUGCCUUAUUCUAUAAAUCUGUAUUGCCAUAUGCUCAUGAGGCAGCACUUGUCAUGGCCCACGACCCGCUCACUGACUGCCAAAAAGUGCAAACUUAGAAGUUUUUCCUUAGAAUCUAACCAGUUUCUCCCUCCCAUUGAGUUCAUCAUACCUUAUUUUUGUUCUUAUCCUGUCUUGUGCCAGCGUUGGCAACUAUCCAUGUGUCUCUAUUACCUAUGCUAUUUCAUUAAUUGCUUUCUGAUUUUUGCGGUUGCCACUGAUUCUUCUUCCCCACUUACCUCCAACAGAUGCUGGGUGUUUUCCUAUCUUGAACUUUUGUAAAAAGAAGUUUUCUGGAAGUUUCCUCCAUUUUUCUUCCUCCUAGUCAACACUCAUCCUUUUGAAGUUAUUAAUCCAAAUGUUUUCAUUGUAUGUCCUUUGUGUAACAUGUGUGAAUUACUGAAAUGAGAAUUUACAAAAACAUACAACAACAACAACAAAAACAACAAGUAACACAGCAAGUUAUAAUAAUUUAAAUAGAAAGAGAGGAAGCAUCAAUUUGGGGUCACGAAACUUCUCUCUACUACUUAAGAUUACUUCUAGCCUAGUAACUGAGGUACAGCUUCACAGUAUUUUUUAGGAGUUAGUCUUAAGUAAGGGUCUUGCAAAAAAUAAAAUCUAUAAUAACAUUAACUGCCUUUACUGGAAAAAGGAUUUAUGAACUACCACCUACAUUCAGUGUGUUAUUCCCACACAAACCCAGAAGGAGCCUUUAACAUUGACCAGGACCAUUAGAAUAAGCCUUUCAGUAGAUAUAUGGUACAUCACAGAUACUGUAUUCCAAUUUGGAAUGGGGAAACCGACAUGUUCUAAGUUAAAGUCACACUGAUCUGUUCCAUCCCACGUCCCUCUUCUAAGCAAACUCCUUUAAUAAACUCCUUAAUACAAUAACCAUAUCUUAUUCAUCAGUGACUAGAAGAAUUAUUUGCAUAUAGCAAGGGCUCAACUUAUUCGUAAGUUGUAAAUGAAAAAACAGAGAAACUAUAUUGUUACACAACCACAGUCUUUUAUCUCACUGGAAACCAAGUAAUUAUGUAGUCCAACUACCAUGUAUAGAUGGUGAAGAAAAUUGAGACAAAUAAAUUGAGUUGAUCCCCUGACUACUUGCUUACUACAUGAGUCAGGUUGGGACUGGGAAACCGGGCCUCUGUUGUUCAUACGCUACACUGCAUCUCACUUGUUGACUUGUGAGUGGAUGAAAUUUUCCAGUUAUCUCAAUACAUGUGGAAAAGAUAGAUUACUCAACAACUGGUUUGGGACAAGUGAGGGUAGCCAUCUGGGAAAAAAAGAAGAAAAAGACAAAGUUGGAUCUCUACCUAGUAGUACUUUGGGCCUGCCAGUAACACCUGGAGACCAGCACUCCCCUGGAAGGCGCCUGG